rnacentral:rRNA from 1 species
CGAUAUCGGGCCCUACGGGGCGCAGCAGGCGCGAAACCUUCACAAUGUGCGAAAGCGCGAUGAGGGAAUCCCAAGUGCUUGCACUUAAGCGUAAGCCGUUUCUUUGUUUAAAAAGCAGAGAGAGAAAGGGCUGGGUAAGACGGGUGCCAGCCGCCGCGGUAAUACCUGCAGCUCAAGUGGUGGCCGCUAUUAUUGGGCCUAAAACGUUCGUAGCCGGCUGAGUAAAUGCUUGGGUAAAUCGUGCCGCUUAACGGUACGAAUCCCGGGUAGACUGCUCAGCUUGAGACCGGGAGAAGCUAGAGGUACUCCUGGGGUAGAGGUGAAAUUCUGUAAUCCUGGGGGGAACACCAGUGGCGAACGCGUCUAGCUAGAACGGGUCUGACG